rnacentral:rRNA from 1 species
GACAGAGGGUGCAAACGUUGUUCGGAAUUACUGGGCGUAAAGCGCGUGUAGGCGGUUAUGCAAGUCGGGUGUGAAAGCCCCGGGCUCAACCCGGGAAGUGCAUUCGAUACUGCGUAGCUAGAGUACUGGAGAGGAUGGUGGAACUCUCGGUGUAGAGGUGAAAUUCGUAGAUAUUCGCAAGAACACCAGUGGCGAAGGCGGCUCACUGGCCCGGUACUGACGCUGAGGUGCGAAAGCGUGGGGAGCAAACAGG